rnacentral:rRNA from 1 species
AUUGAACGCUGGCGGCGUGCCUAACACAUGCAAGUCGAGCGGUAACAGGUGUAGCAAUACAUGCUGACGAGCGGCGAACGGGUGAGUAAUGCUUCGGAAUCUACCCAAUGGUGGGGAAUAACCAGCCGAAAGGUUGGCUAAUACCGCAUACGUCCUACGGGAGAAAGCAGGGGAUCGUAAGACCUUGCGCCAAUGGAUGAGCCGAAGUCGGAUUAGCUAGUUGGAGGGUAACGGCCUACCAAGGCGACGAUCCGUAGCUGGUCUGAGAGGACGACCAGCCACACUGGGACUGAGACACGGCCCAGACUCCUACGGGAGGCAGCAGUGGGGAAUCUUGUACAAUGCACGAAAGUGUGAUGCAGCAACGCCGCGUGUGGGAAGACGGCCU